rnacentral:rRNA from 1 species
GACGAACGCUGGCGGCGUGCUUAACACAUGCAAGUCGAACGGAAAGGCCCUGCUUUUGUGGGGUGCUCGAGUGGCGAACGGGUGAGUAACACGUGAGUAACCUGCCCUUGACUUUGGGAUAACUUCAGGAAACUGGGGCUAAUACCGGAUAGGAGCUCCUGCUGCAUGGUGGGGGUUGGAAAGUUUCGGCGGUUGGGGAUGGACUCGCGGCUUAUCAGCUUGUUGGUGGGGUAGUGGCUUACCAAGGCUUUGACGGGUAGCCGGCCUGAGAGGGUGACCGGCCACAAUGGGACUGAGGUACGGCCCAGACUCCUACGGGAGGCAGCAGGGGGGAAUAUUGCACAAUGGGCGGAAGCCUGAUGCAGCAACGCCGCGUGCGGGAUGACGGCCUGCGGGUUGUAAACCGCUUUCGCCUGUGACGAAGCGUGAGUGACGGUAAUGGGUAAAGAAGCACCGGCUAACUACGUG